CCUACGGGUGGCAGCAGUGAGGAAUAUUGGUCAAUGGGCGCGAGCCUGAACCAGCCAAGUAGCGUGAAGGAUGACUGCCCUACGGGUUGUAAACUUCUUUUAUAAAGGAAUAAAAUUAGACACGUGUACCUUUUUGUCUGUACUUUAUGAAUAAGGAUCGUCUAACUCCGUGCCAGCAGCCGCGGUAAUACCGAGGAUCCGAGGGUUAUCCGGAUUUAUUGGGUUGAAAGGGAGCGUAUAUGGGUUGUUAAGUCAGUUGUGAAAUUUUGCGGUCUAACCCUAAAAUUGCAAUUGAUACUGGAAGUCUUGAGUACAGUUGAGGUAGGCGGAAUUCGUGGUGUAGCGGUGAAAUGCUUAGAUAUCACGAAGAACUCCGAUGGCGAAGGCAGCUUACUAAACUGACACUGACAUUGAUGCACGAAAGCGUGGGUAGCAAACAGGAUUAGAUACCCGGGUAGUC
rnacentral:rRNA from 1 species